AAAAGAGCCAUAGAACACUUUUCCAUACAGCCAUGGCUUGCUGGUCUGCAGAAAAUGCCACAAAGGCCUAUCUCAACACACUGAAAAUGGGUCAAAAGGCCAAAGAGCCAGCAGUUGCAGAGUUCAUAGCAGCACUAGCUGCUGGCAACAAUGCACAACUGAUGGUUGUGGCAUGUGCUGGUGCAGCAGACUCCACCACAC
rnacentral:sRNA from 1 species